AAGACUCUAUUAGAGGAAAAGGAAAAAAAGAAUCAGAGAUGUAAGGGAUGUGGGAGAUCAGAAGUCCACCCUCCCCCCUGCCACUUUACAGAUGAGAACACAGAGGCAUCAAAAGAUCAAGUGACUUACCCAGAGUUACACAAGGAAAGAAAGCAACAAAUAGAAAUACUUAACUUUAUAAGUUGGAAAGAGGAGAAAAAAAGAAGAAGAUGCCUUCCACUGUCUGUAAAACAGGAAAUUCUGAGAAAACAGCAAUGGAAGAAGUUAAUUGAACUCUCAUGA
rnacentral:lncRNA from 1 species